ensembl:rRNA 5S_rRNA 5S ribosomal RNA
GUCUAUUGCUGUACCUCCCUGAAUGUGCCCCAUCUCUUCUGACUAUGGAAGCUAAGCCAGGUUGGGUCUGGUUGGUGUGUAGAUGGGAGACCACCUUGGCAUACCAGGUGCUAGAGACU